GAUGAGCGCUGGCGGCGUGCCUAAUACAUGCAAGUCGAGCGAACAGACGAGGAGCUUGCUCCUCUGACGUUAGCGGCGGACGGGUGAGUAACACGUGGAUAACCUACCUAUAAGACUGGGAUAACUUCGGGAAACCGGAGCUAAUACCGGAUAAUAUAUUGAACCGCAUGGUUCAAUAGUGAAAGACGGUUUUGCUGUAACUUAUAGAUGGAUCCGCGCCGCAUUAGCUAGUUGGUAAGGUAACGGCUUACCAAGGCGACGAUGCGUAGCCGACCUGAGAGGGUGAUCGGCCACACUGGAACUGAGACACGGUCCAGACUCCUACGGGAGGCAGCAGUAGGGAAUCUUCCGCAAUGGGCGAAAGCCUGACGGAGCAACGCCGCGUGAGUGAUGAAGGUCUUCGGAUCGUAAAACUCUGUUAUUAGGGAAGAACAAAUGUGUAAGUAACUAUGCACGUCUUGACGGUACCUAAUCAGAAAGCCACGGCUAACUACGUG
rnacentral:rRNA from 1 species